ACUAGAGCCAAAUCUAUCUCAAAAGUUUAGGUCAUUUUUUUUUUUCCUUUUUGAUAGUAUUCAAUGAGAAAUAACACUUUAAAUAAAACUUUUUUCAUGAGGAAGGUACAGUAAUUAUCCAC
rnacentral:lncRNA from 1 species